GGCUGUGGGGAGCUAACAUGAUGCAGCCCAGACUCCCAGUGCAGGCAGUGGAGAGCUAACAUGAUGUAGCCCAGACUCCCAGUGCAGGCAGUGGAGAGCUAACAUGAUGCAGCCCAGACUCUCAGUGCAGGUAGUGGGGAGCUAACAUGAUGCAGCCCAGACUCUCAGUGCAGGUAGUGGGGAGCUAACAUGAUGCAGCCCAGACUCCCAGUGCAGGUAGUGGGGAGCUAACAUGAUGCAGACCAGACUCUCAGUGCAGGUAGUGGGGAGCUAACAUGAUGCAGCCCAGACUCCCAGUGCAGGUAGUGGGGAGCUAACAUGAUGCAGCCCAGACUCCCAGUGCAGGUAGUGGGGAGCUAACAUGAUGCAGCCCAGACUCCCAGUGCAGGUAGUGGGGAGCUAACAUGAUGCAGCCCAGACUCCCAGUGCAGGUAGUGGGGAGCUAACAUGAUGCAGCCCAGACUCCCAGUGCAGGUAGUGGGGAGCUAACAUGAUGCAGCCCAGACUCCCAGUGCAGGUAGUGGGGAGCUAACAUGAUGCAGCCCAGACUCCCAGUGCAGGCAAGCAAUGAGAAAGUGGAGCAGGCACGGUGCACACUAUAAUAAGCGGUCAGCUGCGCUGAUAGACAGACUUGAUCCGUGAGCCAUUUGACAUUAGUACCGAAAGUUUUAAACUUCUAGUACCAAACCAUUUUUCAUGUUGUAGUAUUGAAAAAGUACAGACAUUUUUGGUAUACCGUGCAACACUAUGACACAUUAUUAUCUCAAACACUUAAUCUGCAUAAAUGACAAGUUAAUUAGUGGGUGAUGAUUUCAGAACCAAAGUGCAGGACAAAACAUUUUUGGCUACAUUGCUCCCCCCUAAUCUGAUGGUGGUAGAUGCCUAGUCUCCCUUGUGACUCAGUUUAGGUGCCUAGAUAGUAUAUACAUAAUUUAUACACACACAAUGAAAAUGGUGCUACUGUGGAUAGCUGCCAUUUUAUGGGCUCCGGUCCAAUUCUGCUAUUUUGCGUGCUUGAUUUUUUUUUACGCUGAUCAUUUUGUUACAUAAAGUCUCCACCAACAUAUCCGAUGACUGACAACAGCUUGUGGACAUCAGAAUAACGAUCACUAACCUUGAUUUGAGUGAAGAUUUUUACAUCAAUGAUCCUACAGCUCUGAAUGUUCCGCUUACCCCGGAUAAGGCCCUGAUCCCUGGGACUCGAAAGAGGAAGCAGCGGCAAGAGAGGCUGCGUCAUGACGAGACUACGUUGGUGAGCAUCUAGACCGCCAUUUUGUUGGCGAACGUGUAGUCACUGGAGAACAAAUUGGAUGAGCGCCAUUCGAGACUAUCCUAUCAACGUGACCGAAAAACUCAAAUAUCCUAUGUUUCUCGGAGUCAUGAAUGAGGACAUGGAUAUACAAACUUAAUUUGUCACAUGCGCUGAAC